UCAGGAAGCAAUAGAGCAAAGAUUUUUGAGUAUAUGGAGAACACAUUCGAAUUUCGCAAUCGUGAAAGCACCUUUAGAUUCACUUCUGCAUCUGAAAUACUCAUGGAAUAUCCCAGAUUAGCCGACGUCGACGAAGGAUCGUUGAUUCUGCAGGAUUUUCAUCAUAAAUACCCGAACAUGCAUGAUGCAUUCCAAUUGCGCUUCCUCAAGAGGUUUUCAUCUUCACUGAAAUUGUUGGCUGCAAGGAAACAAGAAUAGAAAUGUUCCACAUUCAGCUGAUGAUUGCAUGAACUCGCUCAUCUUGUGUCUUCAACUAUUGCCAGCCGUCUACAACGUCAAAAAGGCAUUUUUCGAUUCCAAAGUAGAUCGACUUUUUCACUUCGUUAAGCAAAAUGCAUCGAUUUCUGAAGCUGUCGAAACAAAGGAUGUUAUUCAUCACAAGCAGCCCUACGCCCUACCUUAUUGUAGUAGGAUCGCUAGAACACCCUUUGUCCUUUAACCUGGUCGUCGAUCAAACUCUUAUUCCCCUUGGCCGUGAUUGUUCGAGAUCAUUAUGUGUUUUGUUCGCAUCGUUUUUCGUAUUCCGGCUUGAAUACCCAGCACACUUGGACAAAUUCUAUCUGUUCUUUGAACAAUUUGUGUUCCAAAUAUUUUUAGGCGAACUUUGCUAUAAAAUUAGCCCCUCCAAUCAAGAAUUCGCUAAUAUGCUGGACAAGAUUGCCUUAAAAAGUAUCUAUGGAGAAGCUGAUGCUGCCCAAUAAUUGUUGUCCCCUUUA